UUCAAAAGUUUGUAUAAUUAUCUUGAGUAAAAUAUCUAAUACAUCUAUAAAUAAAGUAAUAAGAGUACAAAAUUUUUAAAUAACAACUUCACUUAUACAAAGCCUGAAGACUUGAUGAACCGAUAAAUGAAAUUGCAGAUUUGACAAAUCGUGUUUACACUUUUAAAUUAAUACCGUCAAAAUUUAAUUUGCGAUUCACUUAACAAUUUCAUUGGUUGGCCAACAGAGGAAAAACUACGCAUUCUGUGUCCAAGUGUCGCAGAUCCCCUCUUCAUUCGGAGGAUCGCACCACGUGUUUCUUUCUCUCGGAAUCCUCCCUUCUCCGCAGCUGUAAAUCAAGUUCACUGUUCAGUAGUGUUCGGUUCAGUCGCCCUCGGGAUAUCAUACCAGUUGGUGGUUGUAUGUUAUGUCUUCAUUAAUUUUGCAUAUUUCUAAUUUAACAGAAUUGAUUCAAAACCGUUUUAAAUCAUUUUAAAUCAAAAAGUGCAGUGUUAUAAUAAUCUUGAUCUUCUGUUUAAUUUUAUUUACAUUCUUUUAUUUUGUUUAUUUAUCUUUUUUCAAAAAAGAAAAAGAAAUGAUUCGGUAUUUUUAAUCAAAUGAAUUCAUUGAAAAAGAUGUAUAUAUACAUCGCUUGAUAUGGUAGUGUACAGAGGCUGAUUCUAACCUUCCUGUGAUACCAUGGAUAUCACGCUGGGCGGAAACGAAUAUCUUUUUGUGGGCUAUGCAUGUUUGGUUAGAGAAUGGAACGAUUCAAAGGAUAUUAGAAUGUAAAAAUAGGUGAUGGCAUAUAGUAUAGAAUAAAGUGGACAGAUGUUGAUUAUUGAUUUCUAAUCAUUUUAAUCAAAUUUAAUGACUGUCUACAGAAUCAUUCAGACCCCUGUAGCAACAAGGAUAAGAAAGGUAUGAGAUACUUAUAUAGGGACGUGUUUGAUAGAAGUUUUGAAUAAAUAUAUUUUGUCCUGAUGAAAACGAUGGUUCCCUUAUUGAUUUUCAUGAUUUUUUUUUUUCUUAGAUAUGAUGAUAUCGGAACCACGAAUAAAUAAAAUCAUCAGCACAAAAGUCAUUAUGUAUUAUUAGGCCAGUUUCUCAAUAUAACUUCACACAUUCCGUAUUAUACGCAUUGAACACGUUUAAAUGGUAAUGUUCAUACAAUUGUUAUUUAGCUUAUCCAUACAACAUAUACAUAAUCAUAAUUUUCUACUAUGUCAAUAUAAUAUAUUUUAUUAUAUAGUAUGUAUACGUGUCUCUUUAUUAAUGCACAGAGUAAACAGGAAAUAAUAAGAAACGCUUAAUUAGGUUAUGUUACGAACAGCAUCUUUUUUUCUUUUAAAAAUAUUUUAUAAAUGAAAAAUUAUGUUCGAUAAUUAUAUGAUUAGUUUCAAUAUAAAGAAUCAUCCUCUUAUUGAAUAGAUGUUACUUCCGGUUUACUCUGCAACUUGUUAAUCGUUUAUUUAUUUUAAAUGCUAGAAUUAAAUUUCUCGCUAAAAUGAGAUCGAUUUAUUAUAGUAAAAUGUCGAUCAUAGAAUGUGUCUUUUGAAGACUUUUUUUUUCUUUUAAAUAUUGAUUUCUAAAGAAGAAAGA
rnacentral:lncRNA from 1 species